CUUUUGAUUCUGAAGGCCCACGUGUUUAAAGAUUCUCCGGAAAAUUGCACCACAUUAUAUUUUAAAAUAUUACAUUAUUUGUUUGCCGAUAUCUUUAAUUUUUUUUUCAAUAUUCAAAUAAUAUUAUUACAAUACUAUACCGUACGCAUCUGGCGCAGUAGAAGCGUGCUAUUGGCUUUGUAGAUCUGAAUGUCCUUAUUAAUUGAAGUUUCUUUGAAUUAAAUCAUUUUAUUUCUUUUCUAUUUCUAUCUGCUACAUUUUUAACAUCUUACAAGGUCACAUAGUCAAAUUAUUUUUCACACAAUGUCACUCUAUGAGACAACCAUAAACAAUACAUAACAAUGGAAUAUAACCUUUAAAUGUGGUGGCUGUCCACUAACUUACAAAUACUCAACAAAAUAUUUAUUGAAAAUAGAAAAACCAUGGAAUUAGUAGGUACUCCGACGUAGUACCUACUCCACGUACGUACCUACUUCCAAGAGAAAAACAUAAAUGUGAAAAUUGUAGCAAGCGAUUUUCCUCUUGAUAUCAACAAUAUUGUGUAGCAACCGAUACAAAGGACACUACACACGAAGAAGGCUGAGGUUGUCAACGAUGUAUAAAACUUGUUUGAAAAAUUAUUGUGCCUUAACCUUGCAAAAUAUAAUUCAGUUUAAUUUUCUGUGUUUUAUAAAAAAUAUGUUUUAUUCUGCAGACUCUCCAGUGGCCAUAUAUGUAUAUGGACUGAUAUGGAUCAUUUGUAGAUUGAUCCAAGUUAGGACGGCCCUGUGUUGAAUAAUUAAGAAUAAAAACUUUAAACAUGCAAAUUUUUAUGAAAGAGUAUUUCAAUUAACGUCGGUCACGUGUUUGAUAACGUUUAUGGAUAUCUAUAGAUAACAAAGAUUUUAACUGAAACAAUACAACAAGGUCUGUGGCAAAUCCAGCUUUGGAAAUGGCAGCAGACAAGCUAUGUGACGCGAUUACGUUAAUCAUAAUUAUCAUAAUAAUCGCCAUGAUUGGACAGGACCUGACGAGCGACAGGUGACGGUGUUUGUUAUUUGAUGCCACAGAUUAUAUACGUGAUGGACAACAACUGUCCCCGACUUCCCCGUCGUUACCACAUGCUAACACAUAUCGUGUUCAAGGUUUGAUCGACAGAUACAAAAUACUCGAUUUAUCUUUGUAUUCUAUUAUUUACAAGGAAAAUUUGUUAUAGGUAAUAUGGCUAUCGAUUUUUGUAAUAUUUUAGCAAAUUAGUUAAGUUCUCUAUGGUUCUCUUAUAUUAUGCUGCUACGAAUCAGGUUGGGUUAUAAACUUAAAAAAACAAUAAUAACACCACAUUAUAGUUAAUUAUUAGACAGAAAUUUGUUUUGGAUGUGGCCACAGUUUUUUGAGCUUCUGAUAGUUUAUCAUCAUCGGUUAUUUUUUAGUAAACGUACAUGUUUAAUUCACAAAGCCUGUUUAUCAGCCAAGACAAAUAGCAGUGGCAAAUCAAACACAAUGUAUGAGUUAACAACGGAAUGACUACCUCCGAGCGGUUAGCACCGGUAUCCACUCGAUUAACAUUCUUUAUUUUUAAAUACAUUCUAGUAUCGCAUACAGGGAACAAGGACACGUGUCGCCUUUCUAUGACGUCAAAACUAUUAUGUAAAUGACAGAUAGCCCUACGCGCCAUCCAUCCAAUUAGUGGAAAAUGGGAAUGAUCGAAUUUGAGAUAGGAAACCAUGAAAAUUUCCGUUGUCUUUAUUUCUUGCCCACAAGACAUUCACUAUAAGGCUGAUAACAACUUAGCUACCUACCUAAAGCUGACACAAUGAUAAUAUCAACACAUAGUACUUAUUAGACUAUACUUCCAGUAAUAUCAAAAUCAAUUUUGAUUUAUGUUUGAAAUAAUUUAAGUUUAAGUUCCUAUUUAGUUUUCAUUUAGGUAAUGGUUAUUUUUUACUUAUUUAUGGUAUAUAUAUAUACUUAUUAGCUUCUUAUUAGGAAUAAUAAAAUCAAGAAUAUUUUUUCCACUUUGACACCUGUUGCAGCGAUCGCACAACUAAUAUUGUUGACUGUUGACGUCUUCCAAAAAAUUAUUUUCACACAAACUAUGAUAUUUCGAUGAUGUAAUUCUGGGAUAAUCUAGAUUUUUUAAUUAUCUUAAGUCCUUUUAUCGCUUUUUACUCGUGAUACUGAGUACAUCGGCCGUAAAUCAACAAUUAAAAAAGUAUACAAAUUGCUGUAUUUGUCCUCUGACAUAAUCUUGAAAUUAUAAGAUCGAAAUCUCAUAAUUUAGAUGUGACAUUUAACGACAUUUUAAUUGCAGGAAACAUGAUCAGUAAUAGGUGGUUUGGUGGUGGCUUGGCUAGUUGCUGUUUACCGAAUUUUCGUGAAUUUGUCUGAUGGCCAAAUAAAUGCCUUUAUUCGCAAAGUAGCCCUGAGUAUAGGUAUUAUUAGCAUAUUUUUUAUAUUUAAAAUAUCAUCCGUCAUUAUAUGUAUGUAUAGUUACCACUAAGUAUGGAAAAUUGUAAACUGAAGAUUGUUCUUAACAAUGAAAUGAGCAGAAAAUAAGCCCAAUUUUCAUUACGAUAUUAAUGAUAUCAAAAUAGUUUCAUUUGUUAAAAAAUACGUCCCCCGACGCGACUACGUUUGCGUACCAAAAUAUAUCUUCAAUUCAUACUAUAUUUUUUCUUGCUUUUUAGGCGGAGAGGGUUUUUAAAAUAUUUCCAUUUAACUUUUCAGCAAUCCAAGCAUCGACUUUGCGAUGAAAGACGUUGAAAUUUUACGAACGAAACUAUUUCGCGUAGUUAGUGUUUUAGGUACCUCUUCCGUGAUGAG